rnacentral:rRNA from 1 species
UACGUAGGGUGCAAGCGUUGUCCGGAAUUAUUGGGCGUAAAGAGCUCGUAGGCGGUCUGUCGCGUCUGCUGUGAAAUCUCAGGGCUUAACCCUGAGCUUGCAGUGGGUACGGGCAGACUAGAGUGCGGUAGGGGAGACUGGAAUUCCUGGUGUAGCGGUGAAAUGCGCAGAUAUCGAGGAGGAACACCGGUGGCGAAGGCGGGUCUCUGGGCCGGUAAC